GACGAACGCUGGCGGCGUGCUUAACACAUGCAAGUCGAGCGGAAAGGCUCCUUCGGGGGUACUCGAGCGGCGAACGGGUGAGUAACACGUGAGUAAUCUGCCCUUGGCUUCGGGAUAGCCACCGGAAACGGUGAUUAAUACCGGAUACGACAACUUCUCGCAUGGGAUGGUUGUGGAAAGUUUUUUCGGCCAGGGAUGUGCUCGCGGCCUAUCCGCUUGAUGGUGAGGUAAUGGCUCACCAUGGCUUCGACGGGUAGCCGGCCUGAGAGGGUGACCGGUCACACUGGGACUGAGACACGGCCCAGACUCCUACGGGAGGCAGCAGUGGGGAAUAUUGGACAAUGGGCGGAAGCCUGAUCCAGCAACGCCGCGUGAGGGGUGACGGCCUUCGGGUUGUAAACCUCUUUCGGUAGGGACGAAGCGCAAGUGACGGUACCUACUAAAGAAGCACCGGCCAACUACGUGCCAGCAGCCGCAGUAA
rnacentral:rRNA from 1 species